rnacentral:rRNA from 1 species
AACGAACGCUGGCGGCAUGCCUAACACAUGCAAGUCGAACGAGACCUUCGGGUCUAGUGGCGCACGGGUGCGUAACGCGGGGUAAGCUGCCCUUAGGUUCGGUAUAACUCCCCGAAAGGGGUGCUAAUACCGGAUAAUCUCUUCGGACCAAAGAGUUAUCGCCUUUGGAUGGGCCCGGGUUGGAUUAGUUGGUGGGUAGGGUAAAAGCCUACCAAGGGGACGAUGCAUAGCUGGUCUGAUAGGAUGGUAAGCCACACUGGGACUGAGACACGGCCCAGACUCCUACGGAAGGGAGGAGAGGGGAAUAUUGGACGAUGGGCGAAAGUCUGACAAAGCAGUGCCGGGGGAGUGAUGAAGGCCUUAGGGUUGUAAAGCUGUUUUACCCGGGAUGAUAAUGACAGUACCGGGAGAAUAAGCUCCGGCUAACUACGUG